GUGCGCUGCUUGGGCUGCAAGAACCACUGCUUUAAGGAGUCACUCUGACAGGAGCUCAAUCUCCCCAGUAUGGACAGCGUCACCUUUUGAGUCUGGCAUCGCUCCCCCUGACACAGGGAGUCCUACAGCCAGCUAGUAUCUGCAGACUAGAACAACAGUGCUUUCACGUGAGGGACCAGGAGUCCGCCCAAGAGAGCAACGGCUGAAGAUUCUGGAGCUAUCCCAGAUGGGGCAACUGAGACACAGAAAGGGGAAGUGACUUGCCCAGGGUCACCAGCAGGCCAGUGGCAGAGCUGGGAUUAAAACUAAGGUCUCUUGAGUCCCCUCCAGUGGAAGUCAUUUCCUGUGUAACCUUUAACCUCUGCCAACCAUGUGUCUGAUUAACCCAGUGACUUAGUCCUAGGCGAGGAGAACUCUAAUUGCACUGCAUUGGAUUGAAGCAAUGGCAGAGGGGGUAGGAAUGUCUACUCACCACAGGAAGCAGCUUUGCACAUGAACGCAAAGCAGCUUUGCACAGGAACAUCAGGCAGUUGCAGCAGCAAAAGAUUCAGGUGCAGACAGGGCUUUAAGGGGUUGCCUUAAGUGCUCCAUCAAUAAGCAGCCCUGGUUUAGUUUGA